AAGCCGGAAGGAAGACACACCAACCCGGCCAGGGAGAAGGAAGGGCAGGGUGUUCAUCCGCUCUACUACUCAGAUCAAACAGGGCACUGCAUGUGAAAACGCCAGGAUGAGCUAAGUGGAGAGUGAAUGACCAGUAAUGUAUGAAGAAGGAAGAUAUUCUUUCUUAUCCCACACUCACUCACAAAGGCUACAUUUCUUACUAUGCAUUCUUUGGGUACGAGAAUGCUUGGGAACAUAAGGACUUUGGCCAGCAUGAAAGACAGGUUAGGCAGUCCAGAGAUCACUCUGCCAGCUUCCACACUCAGCUCUUCAUCCUGCUGAGACUUCCUGAUAAAAACAGCAGAUGGACAUCAGGCGAUUCAGUGUGUCCUCCAUGUGGCUACUGUUAAAUCCCGUUUCCAGUUUGCUGAUGGUCAACUCAUACAGCUCACGGUCAACUCCUUUACACUUGCUGACCUGGAGGAGGACUGUUGCUACGGCUGCUGCUGCUGCUGUAGGAUCUGCCCUCCUCCUCAGGACCAAAAUAAUCCAGGUUGAGAGCAGUGCAGUCUGUGCUAAUCAGAGGGGAG